CAGCACCAACACGAGUAGUGUCGCGGAACUCUUUGUACAUGUUGUGAGUACCGGAACGAGAGUCAUAACGAAUCCAGAUACCAAAGACCUUGGCCUUAAGAGGCUUGGGCUCAGAAAUCUCAUUGAUAGCAACGAUCUCACCAGUGGCCUUCUUGACUUUGUUGAUCAUCUUCAAGAAAUACCAGUAACGAGACUUGGCAACUGAUUCAUUAGGUGCGAAUAAACGCAUACGGAACAACUUAGGCACAGGUUCAUGCUCAGUUGGGACCUUACGGCCAACGACUUGAUACUCCUUCAGUGCCAUUUUGAUGUCUCUGGCUCUGGACAGGUUGACUUGUUGAUAACCGGGAAUUUCUUACACCAAACUUUUGUGACUGCUUUUGAAUAUAAUUAACAAAAUCGUCUUUAAGCGUUAUAGGUUCUUAAUGUAAAGCAGAUCGAUAUCUCAAAUAGCGUGAUAUCGUACAUUUCAGUAUAUCUCUAACCAAAGCGCCUUUAAAGCCUCUAUGAAUUUCCAGAAGUCACUUGAAAGUGAUUUUUAAUGGAGCGGUAGUUGCUUUCAUAAAUUGAUUUUUAGUCUUGAAUAUUUGUUUGAAAAAAUGUGCCGUCUUUCAUGUGUUGAAUUUUGACGCGUCGCACUUGCUCGACAGGCUGCAUUCUGUGAGGUUGUAGCAAUAUAAAUAAUAAACAGAGGUGAAUUUACACUUCCAGUCUUCUAUGUGCAUUACAAAAUUCAGAGUAGUACAUUGAUAGAUUUAAAAAACUGUCAUUAAAUUCAGUUGUUUUGUGUUGAAUCGUGCAAUGAAACUAUCCAAAGCAUA